CGGAUUUCCAGGGGAAGUUUAAUCUACCAUCCAGGGCGCUGUUCACUUAUCUACAAAUCAAAGCAGAACUCACACAACACCCAACACAACCACCCACACCUAUCAUGGCUUAUUUUGAGACAGCUUUCUCAGCUCCCACCACCCUGAAAAAAGUGCUCUCCUCCAUGUAACAAGUGCUUACUGACCCACAGAAAGAACCACAGGACAAAUUUAGACUGGACUGGCAGCGUGACCUCAACCAGACACUACACAUACGAUUUUGGAACAAAGCGUUUAUUGCGCACAGGGGUAGAUUGAGUUGUGCCUCACAUCUAGAACUUAUGAGGAAGAUACAAUAUAGAUGGUACAUGGUGCCAGAUAGACUGGCAAACAUGUAUCCAAACACUUCCAACGUGUGUUGGAGAUGUACACAAGAGGUGGGCACGAUGCACCAUAUGUGGUGGACAUGUGCAGAAAUUAAAACAUUCUGGCAAAUAGUGGUGCACAUCGCGACCGAUGCAAUAGGUGCACAUGUUGAACCCACCCCUGAAAUUUGUCUCCUGUUUGCAUCGAUAGAUAGCCUCUUCGGUCCAGAAUCUUUCUUGCUAUUUCAUAUACUAAUUGCGGCAAACUUAUUAAUAGCUAGAGCAUGGAAAACCACAGAUCUCCCAGCAACACCAGCCCUAUUGAACCAAAUCUCACUGAAUUUAGACUAUAAAAUGAUGGCGCAUAAACACCUCUGACCCAAGAAGCACUUACAGGAGGCAUUUAAAAAAUGGGGGACCUAUAUCACUAAUACUGUAGCUGAAAUGACCGGUGACAGUGGACAGCAGGGGUGACGCAUGCAGGGAAGGGUGAGGGGAGCGUGAAAUGGACUGAUACAAAAAAAAAAGGUGAAAGAAGAGGCGUAGUGGGACAGGAGUAGGGUGACAAGGGGGAAGGGGAGACAGGGGAGAAAGGGACACCAUAGAUGACGGACGUACUGUAGGGAGGUUUCUGGACAGAGGGGGACAACAACCGUAUCGCAUAACCGAGCUCGAAAUGAUUCUAAUAACCACAAGGUGCACCAGAGAUUCCGCAAAAGCCUCAUAGCAUGUAGAACAUAGCAUCUAUCACGAAUACAGUAUCACAGGGCAUCCCGCAUAAGAUGCCUGCGCAGGCUCAAACUCGCUCUGUAAAUAGUUAGAAUCCUUUUUUCUGAGUUUUCUCCUAUUUUCACCACUCACCUUUUAUUCAUUUUAUUUCCUUUUAAAAGUAUAUCAAAAGAGUCAAGCACGAAAGAGAGGGUAGUUUAGAAUUGGGAAUGGACCCCAGCUAAAAGGGUACGAUUUGGGAACACAAGGGGACAGACGGUAGAAAUAUAGAUCAACAACACUCAGCUGACAGAGCCAAUCAGUUAAGGCCUCGAGACAGGGAGAAAGGAAAUGGUGGACCAUGAAGGCCAAGAUUUAGCGGCUAAAGUCAUGAGGUAUCUAGAGAGAAGCCCUGGGAACUAUCCAGGGAACACUGCAAUGGAGGUAG